rnacentral:tRNA from 2 species
GGAUUGAUAGCUCAGCUGGUAGAGCAGGUCCCUCUUAAGGACAAGGUCGCGGGUUCGAACCCCGCUCGAUCCACCA